CUAAAAGUAAGCAAGGGCGCAUGGCGGAUGCCUUGGCUCUCGGAGGCGAUGAAGGACGUGAUAAGCUGCGAUAAGCUUCGGGUAGGUGCAAAUAACCUUUGAUCCGGAGAUUUCCGAAUGGGACAACCCGAUUGGUUGAAGACCAAUCAUCCAACAGUGUUGGAGGCUAACGCAGGGAACUGAAACAUCUUAGUACCUGCAGGAAAAGAAAAUAAAUAAUGAUUCCCCUAGUAGUGGCGAGCGAACGGGGACCAGCCCAAACCACCUAUGUUACGGCAUAUGUGGGGUUGUAGGACCACGUUGUGGCAAGAAAAC
rfam:Bacteroides stercoris strain CL09T03C01 AA415_contig0065, whole genome shotgun sequence.